GCGGCCGCUGGCCGCCGUCCCUGUUGGAGUGGCCCGCGACAGAGCCUUGAGCAGGUGGCCUCGCUCGAGGCCGUCUGUGGAAUUCCGGUUCUGGAACGUGCUCACCGAACCACAGAACUCUACUGCUUAAAUAAGAACCCCGAGUGCUGUCUGUGCUGUGUUCAGGGAGAUGGAAGUUUUCCAGAAGCUCCUGCAAAGUCGGCUUGGCAGCAAGGCAAGGCACCCCCAGGACCCCAGCGUGGACUCGGCCUCUUGACUGCGGCCUGGGCAGUCUCUGGAGAGGAAAAAAACGGAGCCCCAGUGACGUGAAAGCAACUUGCCAAAGAUCUUAUAGCUGAUAAGAGACAAAGCUGGAGAUCAGAUCUGGGCAGUCGGGCUUCAAAAGCCCCAGGCUCUUAACCAACGCAUGGGAGGAACAAUUUGAAACCAGGAGCAAAGGAGGAAGAGAGAAUGUGGCUCCAGAGAGCUCCCCCACAGCGUGCCACCUUCUCUACCUGGGCACAGAGGCCGUGCAGCCUGAUGGGCAGGUUUCCUACCUCAUCCUGGCCCUCCCUCCAGUUUCCUGGGUGUCAUCAGGCAAGUCCCUGAGCCACUCUGGCACAGUCUCCCCCACUGGAACACAGAACAUUUGUAUGAGGGCCCCGUUUGCCCUUUGCAAUCAAUCCUUCUCUGCCUGAUACCACGCAAUCUAGAAAGGAAGUGUAAUACCACGCCGGAUAUGUCUCCGGGUCCAUGAUGUCCCUCCUCUUGGGCACCAAAGCCUCAGUCUUGCACGUCCCCUUCCAUUCACCCGAGAGCAGGCUACUUCUUUCGGCCACUUCCAGCUGGGUGAGAGACCACACUCUACGGGACAUGUCUAAUCAGAGGCUGACAUGUGCCCCUGGUCUUGUUUUUCCCAGGUGACUAUGGUCCUAUAGCAAUGUCUCACGAAUGGACUGUCAGCAGAAGCGAGGCGUGCUCCUUGUGCUCACCCAGACAUCUCUCUCUCUUCCCCUUUGCGGGAGCUGCAACACAUCAGCAAGCCGGCUUCAAUCACAGAGAUGAGGACGACACCCUAGUGCCGGGGGAGAAACGGUAACCUCAGGGAACACAGCUGCCCCACCGGCUGUGACCAGUUGGAAUAUUACAGGGCUUCUCUCACAUGGGAGCCAGUGCAUGUUUGGUCCCUGUAGGAUGAAAGGGUACGUGCCAAGGCUGUCUAUAAAGUCCACAUCCAGGAAGGCAAGCCACUUCUAGCCUACACUGUCCCAUCUGCAGAAAGUCACCCCGUGUCCAGCAGAUCUAAGUCCCAAAAUAGACAGUGGCCAUGUGUCCACUGUUCCCAAGCCUUCCCGUUUGGGAAAGAAACAUCUGUGGCCAUUUGGUGUCCUGGAGAUUUCACCUGAAACCUCAAUCUGUAUCCCAGAACAAAGAUGUCUACUCACUGGAUUAAACCAAUGCUAUCAGAA